ACCACAGGAUGGAAAACUAAGCACUAUGGCUCACAUCUUUGUCCUCUAAUCUCUUAUAAGAAAACACAGCUUUUAUACCUACCGCUAUCUGCAUUCCGCUAAAAAAAAAAAAAAAAAUUUAGAGAGGGAUAUUCAGACAAAGACCUAAGUACACACACUUUACGUUGUUUUUCUGAAGUUUUUGGUUUGAUUGACUUCAUGUUGUUUUGCCCAGGAAGGAAACAGUGGACGGAAUAAACAAUGAAAGUGGACAUGAUGAGAGAGCUUCUAUUGAUUACAGUGCAGUCAUUAUUCAUUGAUUUAUGCAUUGGUUUUUGCACGGCAGGAUUGGGGAAGUGCCGGUGGAAGGGCACGGUGGGAAUAUACAGAUGGAAGCUACAAUCAGGAUGAACAGCAAUGAGAUUGUUCCCCCAAAGCCAUCAUCCCCCAAGCCAUCAUCCCCCAAGAGCCUUCGCAGAAUAGCCCUGACACCCCAGGGCUGAGAACCCCCAAGUUAUGUAAGGGAGACAUUUCAUUUAUCCUUCUACUUCUGGAUAGGACUGUACUUCAUCAAUUUGGUAGGAAGCAGCUGCCAGUGGACCUCACCUGACUCGAAUAUUGAAUUGCUUUGAAAAGUGAGCGAGGAUCUAUGCCCUACGCACGGAGGGAGGGAGGUAAGCAGGGCAGGAACCCGGCAGCGGGGACGCCCGGACCAGGACCGAGGCCGGCAGGUGGCGCCACCGGCUGGGGACAGCGCCCCCGGAAGCGGGGGGCUGUGGGUGGGCAGCGAGGAGGGAAGUCGCUCCUGGAAGAGCACUUCCCUACCCACCCACUGGAUUGUACGAGGGUCCAUUUUUCCGUUGCUGUUGUUUUUGCUGCCGAAGCCCUUUUCGGUGAGAAUUACAGACUCACCUAACUAAUCACAGUGGAGGUGCAACAUGGCAGACAAUGACUCUGUAAAAUCACACAAGCGACUAGAGACGGUAAAAUACAGUGAAUAAAUAUCUGGAGUCUGGAGGCAGAGUGGCUGCGUUCCAGUCUCAGUUCUCUUACUUAUUAGUUUUGCAACGUAACCUCUCUUGUCUCAGUUUCCAGAGACUUAUAAAAUAUGCAUAAUACCCACACUGCUUCAUGUAAAGAAUUACACAUAAUGUGUCCAUCUGGUUCACUAUGCACACAUAAUAUAUACCAACGAUCUUUCCAUAUCAAUGCCUUCAGGUCUAAAAAACUCAUUCUUUUCUAAAGCUGUUGAUUAUUUCAUUCCAUCAACAUAUUAGAAUUUAUUUAAUCAGUUUUGCUUCUUCCUGAAUGUCAUACAGCUGGAAUUGUACAGAAUGUAGCCUUUUAAGACUGGUGUCUUUCACGUAAUAAUAUGCAUUUAAGUU